rnacentral:lncRNA from 1 species
UGCUUUUAAUAGUUCUAUCAAUUUCACAUUGUUUUUACCUAACAACUUAUGUCUACUAUCUCAUAGUGGGAAAACAGUAUGCCACAACAUCAUGGUCAGAGUUUGGACAUUGCAUGAAGCACUUGCUGGACAAUUGAGAAGAACUCAUGCCUACUUGCAGGAGGGUUGUUGUACACGUGAGUGGAGGUCGAACCCUUCUUGUAGGGCUCUUAAUGUAUGAAGUACGCCAUGCUAGCUAUUGAAUCAAGUUCAAUGGGAUUCGUUAAAAUAUAAGGAGGGUUGUUGUACAAGUGAGACAAGGUCAGCCCUUCUUGCAGGGCUCUUAAUAUAAGCCUGUACUACACGUUCAUCCACGUCGAGCUCGUCGGCUCCCAACGCAACCCCUUCUUCUCUCACGAGAUCAGUGGUGAGGACGACACUGGGGAUAGAGACCUAGGGUUCUCCAAGUGGGCCUAGAAACUCCAUGGCAACGUCUCAGGAAAAAUGGGCGCAUUGAAGUCUUGAAGGACUUUCAGGAAUACUAAUUUUGAGAAUUCGUGGAAAUAAAAAUAGGGUUGGCUUUAUCAAACUGCACAAAAAAAUCAGCAGCACUUCUCUUUAUCAUGCAAGGAAAAUCAAACUUAGGAGCAUCUUCCAAUUUCGUCAGCAGCUGAGCCGAUUGUGAUCUCUGAUCACUAUACAACCAUGGAAAUAAAUAAUGCAGCUUUGCUCUGCAAAUUUUAUACAAUAGUUCUUGAAUCGAUAUUGACUACUACUAUAUUCACAACGUCAUCCACAAACAUCAUUCUAAGAAAACUAACAACAUAUGAUGGUAUGUAAAGCAUGUUUAGUGUCAAAAAAUGAUAUGAUAUAUGUUAAGUACAUUCUAUAAGUUUUUUUUUCUUGGACCAUCUCGCAGUCACACGCUAAGAUACUACAUAUGACUAUCUGCACAAAUCCUUCACCACAGUUCAAACUGGCCAGAUGUACUCCGCAUGGACAUAUGUUUAGGACAACGCAUUACUGUUUUUCUGUC